rnacentral:tRNA from 1 species
UUUGGGAUAUAGCUCAGUGAUAAAGCACUUACCUAGCAUUGUAUGAGGCCCUGGGUUCAAUCCCCAGUACCAAAA